GUAGCAAUACCUGACCGGCGAACGGGUGCGUAACACGUGAGCGACCGACCCUAGGUGUGGGGGAUAGCCGGCCCAACGGCCGGGUAAUACCGCAUACGCUCUCCGGGCUUCAUGGCCUGGAGAGGAAACCCUUCGGGGGCACCAGGACGGGCUCGCGGCCUAUCAGCUAGUUGGCGGGGUAAUGGCCACCAAGGCGACGACGGGUAGCUGGUCUGAGAGGAUGGCCAGCCACAUUGGGACUGAGACACGGCCCAGACUCCUACGGGAGGCAGCAGUGGGGAAUAUUGGACAAUGGGGGCAACCCUGAUCCAGCCAUGCCGCGUGAGUGAAGAAGGUCUUAGGG
rnacentral:rRNA from 1 species